rnacentral:rRNA from 1 species
UACGUAGGCAGCAAGCGUUGUUCGGAAUUACUGGGCGUAAAGGGUGCGUAGGCGGUUUGGCAAGUCUUGUGUGAAAUCUUUGGGCUCAACCCAAAGUCUGCAUAAGAAACUGCCGGGCUUGAGUAUGGGAGAGGUGAGUGGAAUUUCCGGUGUAGCGGUGAAGUGCGUAGAUAUCGGAAGGAACACCUGUGGCGAAAGCGGCUCACUGGACCAUUACUGACGCUGAGGCACGAAAGCUAGGGGAGCAAACAGG